rnacentral:rRNA from 1 species
UACGUAGGGUGCAAGCGUUAAUCGGAAUUACUGGGCGUAAAGCGUGCGCAGGCGGUUGUGUAAGACAGAUGUGAAAGCCCCGGGCUUAACCUGGGAACUGCGUUUGAAACUGGGAGACUUGAGUGUGGCAGAGGGGGGUGGAAUUCCACGUGUAGCAGUGAAAUGCGUAGAUAUGUGGAGGAACACCGAUGGCGAAGGCAGCCUUCUGGGCCAACACUGACGCUCAUGCACGAAAGCGUGGGGAGCAAACAGG